GUUGCGAGUCGGUGACGGCGAGCUAACUACUCUUAAAGCCAAUCUCAGUUCGGAUUGUAGGCUGCAACUCGCCUACAUGAAGUCGGAAUCGCUAGUAAUCGCGGAUCAGCACGCCGCGGUGAAUACGUUCCCGGGCCUU
rnacentral:rRNA from 1 species